rnacentral:tRNA from 1 species
UGUAUGUAGGUGUUAAAGUGCACUUUGGUUUUUGAUAUCAGGGGAGAAGGUUCAAAUCCUUCCCAUACAU